GACGAACGCUGGCGGCAGGCUUAUUCAUGCGCGUCCCACGAGAACGCUCUGGCUUUGCCAGGGCAAGUACUGUGGCGGACGGGUGCUUAUCGCGUAGAUAACCUGCCCUCACGCGCGGGACAAUCACAGUAAACCGUGGCUUAUACCUCACCUCUUCUGGACCCCUCCUGGGGACCAGAUGAAAGCCUUCGAGCCCCUUUGGAUGGGUCAGCGUUUGAUUAGCUUGCUCGCCAACUAACGGCGCACCAACGCGACGAUCCAUAGCUGGUCUGACAUGACCAUCAGCCACACUGAGGACUGAUACACAGCCCACACUCCCACCGCAUGCAUCACUGGGGAAUCUUGCACUAUGGGGUCACCCCUGAUGCUUCCCUGCCGCGUGGAAGAAGACACCCCUACGCGGCGUACACUCCUUUUCUGAAUGAACAAACCCCUGUAGGUUAAGGGCGCGACGCGUUUUCACGAAUAAGCACCGGCUAACUCCGCUGCCCUCUGCCGCGGUAUCUACUGACGGUGCAAGCGUUGUCCGGAAUCAUCUGGGUGUAAACGGGUGUGCACGCGGGCCACCCCGUCUUGAUGUGACACCCCAUGGCUUAACCAUGGAUGUGCAUUCGAAUCUGUUGCUCUUGAGUCCAGGACAAGCUGUCGGACUUCAUGGUGUAGCGGUGAAAUGCGUAGAUAUCACGAGGAACACCAGAGGCGAAAGCGGACAGAUGGACGGGUACUGACGAUGAGGCAGGAAAGCGGGGGGAGCAAACAGGAUGAGAUACGCUGGUAGUUCACGCGGUAAACGAUGAAUGCUCGCAGUUGACCGGUUCAAGGGGCAGUGGGUAAGCUAAUGCGUUAAGCGUUCCACCUGGGGAGUACGAUAGCAAGGUGGAAACUCAAAGGAAUUGACGGGGGCCCGCACAAGCGGUGGAGCAUGUGGUUCACAUUCGAUGCAACGCGAAGAACGUUACCUAGGUUCGAACGAUAAAGGACGGCUCCAGAAAGGGAGCUUCCCCUUAGGGGCGAUUAGCGAGGUAGUGCAGGGCUGUCGUCAGUUUGUGUGGUGAGAUGUGGGGUUAAGUCCCGCAAGGAGCGCAACCCCCGUUGCGUAGUUACCAUCGGGUAAUGCCGGGGACUCUAGAGAAAUCGCCUGCGCAAGCAGUGAGGAAGGUGGGGACGAGGUCAAGUCAUCAUGGUCGGUAAGCGUAGGGUCGCACAAGUGAUACAAUGGCCGGUACAAGGAGCAGCCACCUAGCGAGAGGGAGAGAAUAUGCGAAAACCGGUGCCAGUUCGGAGGGGAGUCCGCAACUUGAUUCCAUGAAGCAGGAAUGGCUAGUAAUCGUGGAUCAGCGAAUGACGGGGUGAAUCGAUUCCCGGGCGCUGCACACACGGCCAGUCGAGCCAUGGACGCCGAGAGCCCCCGGAGUCCGCGCCUGAAGUCGGCCGAGGGGCCUGAUGGAGAGCGGCCGUAGGUAGCGCUCAGUCAGUGGGUCGU
rnacentral:rRNA from 1 species